AUUGAACGCUGGCGGCAUGCUUUACACAUGCAAGUCGAGCGGAUGAAGAGAGCUUGCUCUCUGAUUUAGCGGCGGACGGGUGAGUAGUGCCUAGGAAUCUGCCUGGUAGUGGGGGAUAACGUUCCGAAAGGAACGCUAAUACCGCAUACGUCCUACGGGAGAAAGCAGGGGACCUUCGGGCCUUGCGCUAUCAGAUGAGCCUAGGUCGGAUUAGCUAGUUGGUGAGGUAAUGGCUCACCAAGGCGACGAUCCGUAACUGGUCUGAGAGGAUGAUCAGGCACACUGGAACUGAGACACGGUCCAGACUCCUACGGGAGGCAGCAGUGGGGAAUAUUGGACAAUGGGCGAAAGCCUGAUCCAGCCAUGCCGCGUGUGUGAAGAAGGUCUUCGGAUUGUAAAGCACUUUAAGUUGGGAGGAAGGGCAUUAACCUAAUACGUUAGUGUUUUGACGUUACCAACAGAAUAAGCACCGGCUAACUUCGUGCCAGCCGCCGCGGUAACAC
rnacentral:rRNA from 1 species